rnacentral:rRNA from 1 species
UACGUAGGGUGCGAGCGUUGUCCGGAAUUACUGGGCGUAAAGGGCUCGUAGGCGGCCAACUAAGUCACACGUGAAAUCCCCAGGCUUAACCUGGGAACUGCGUGUGAUACUGGAUGGCUUGAAUUCGGGAGAGGGAUGCAGAAUUCCAGGUGUAGCGGUGAAAUGCGUAGAUAUCUGGAGGAAUACCGGUGGCGAAGGCGGCAUCCUGGACCGACAUUGACGCUGAGGAGCGAAAGCUAGGGGAGCAAACGGG